rnacentral:rRNA from 1 species
AUUGAACGCUGGCGGCAUGCCUUACACAUGCAAGUCGAACGGUAACGGGCCUUCGGGUGCCGACGAGUGGCGAACGGGUGAGUAAUGCAUCGGAACGUACCUUUCAGUGGGGGAUAACGUAGCGAAAGUUACGCUAAUACCGCAUAUUCUGUGAGCAGGAAAGCAGGGGAUCGGAAGACCUUGCGCUGUUUGAGCGGGCGAUGUCAGGUUAGCUAGUUGGUGAGGUAAAGGCUCACCAAGGCGCCGAUCUGUAGCGGGUCUGAGAGGAUGAUCCGCCACACUGGAACUGAGACACGGUCCAGACUCCUACGGGAGGCAGCAGUGGGGAAUUUUGGACAAUGGGGGCAACCCUGAUCCAGCCAUGCCGCGUGAGUGAAGAAGGCCUUCGGGUUGUAAAGCUCUUUCGGUCGGGAAGAAAUCGCAUGGGUUAAUACCCUGUGCGGAUGACGGUACCGGCAUAAGAAGCACCGGCUAACUACGUGCCAGCCGCCGCAGUAACAC